UUAGACGGGCCCCGCACAAGCAGCGGAGCGUGUGGUUUAAUUCGAUGCUACGCGAAGAACCUUACCAGGUCUUGACAUCCCGAUGCUAUUUCUAGAGAUAGAAAGUUACUUCGGUACAUCGGUGACAGGUGGUGCAUGGUUGUCGUCAGCUCGUGUCGUGAGAUGUUGGGUUAAGUCCCGCAACGAGCGCAACCCCUAUUGUUAGUUGCCAUCAUUCAGUUGGGCACUCUAGCGAGACUGCCGGUAAUAAACCGGAGGAAGGUGGGGAUGACGUCAAAUCAUCAUGCCCCUUAUGACCUGGGCUACACACGUGCUACAAUGGUUGGUACAACGAGUUGCGAGUCGGUGACGGCGAGCUAAUCUCUUAAAGCCAAUCUCAGUUCGGAUUGUAGGCUGCAACUCGCCUACAUGAAGUCGGAAUCGCUAGUAAUCGCGGAUCAGCACGCCGCGGUGAAUACGUUCCCGGGCCUU
rnacentral:rRNA from 1 species